GGGCCCGCACAAGCGGUGGAGCAUGUGGUUUAAUUCGAUGCAACGCGAAGAACCUUACCUACUCUUGACAUCCUUGGAAUCCUCUGGAGACAGAGGAGUGCCUUCGGGAACCAAGUGACAGGUGCUGCAUGGCUGUCGUCAGCUCGUGUCGUGAGAUGUUGGGUUAAGUCCCGUAACGAGCGCAACCCUCGUCCUUAGUUGCCAGCACGUCAUGGUGGGAACUCUAAGGAGACUGCCGGUGAUAAACCGGAGGAAGGUGGGGAUGAUGUCAAGUCAUCAUGGCCCUUACGAGUAGGGCUACACACGUGCUACAAUGGGCAGUACAAAGGGUUGCCAAGCCGCGAGGUGGAGCUAAUCCCAUAAAGCUGUUCGUAGUCCGGAUUGGAGUCUGCAACUCGCCUGCAUGAAGGUGGAAUCGCUAGUAA
rnacentral:rRNA from 1 species